AAUGCACCAAUUUGUAAGUCGCUAUGGAUAAGAGCGUCUGCUAAAUGACUUAAA
rfam:Salmo salar isolate Sally breed double haploid chromosome ssa14, whole genome shotgun sequence.